rnacentral:rRNA from 1 species
AUUGAACGCUGGCGGCAUGCUUUACACAUGCAAGUCGAACGGUAACAGGCCUUCGGGCGCUGACGAGUGGCGAACGGGUGAGUAAUGCAUCGGAACGUGCCCAGUCGUGGGGGAUAACGCAGCGAAAGCGGUGCUAAUACCGCAUACGAUCUGUGGAUGAAAGCGGGGGACCUUCGGGCCUCGCGCGAUUGGAGCGGCCGAUGUCAGAUUAGGUAGUUGGUGGGGUAAAGGCUAACCAAGCCAACGAUCUGUAGCUGGUCUGAGAGGACGACCAGCCACACUGGGACUGAGACACGGCCCAGACUCCUACGGGAGGCAGCAGUGGGGAAUUUUGGACAAUGGGCGCAAGCCUGAUCCAGCAAUGCCGCGUGCAGGAAGAAGGCCUUCGGGUUGUAAACUGCUUUUGUACGGAACGAAACGGUCCUGGUUAAUACCUGGGGCUAAUGACGGUACCGUAAGAAUAAGCACCGGCUAACUACGUGCCAGCCGCCGCAGUAAUAC